ACGAACGCUGGCGGCGUGCUUAACACAUGCAAGUCGAACGGAAAGGCCCUGCUUUUGUGGGGUGCUCGAGUGGCGAACGGGUGAGUAACACGUGAGUAACCUGCCCUUGACUUUGGGAUAACUUCAGGAAACUGGGGCUAAUACCGGAUAGGAGCUCCUGCUGCAUGGUGGGGGUUGGAAAGUUUCGGCGGUUGGGGAUGGACUCGCGGCUUAUCAGCUUGUUGGUGGGGUAGUGGCUUACCAAGGCUUUGACGGGUAGCCGGCCUGGGGGGGUGACCGGCCACAUUGGGACUGAGAUACGGCCCAGACUCCUACGGGAGGCAGCAGUGGGGAAUAUUGCACAAUGGGCGGAAGCCUGAUGCAGCAACGCCGCGUGCGGGAUGACGGCCUUCGGGUUGUAAACCGCUUUCGCCUGUGACGAAGCGUGAGUGACGGUAAUGGGUAAAGAAGCACCGGCUAACUACGUG
rnacentral:rRNA from 1 species